GUGUUUUGUGUGCCAGUGUUUUAAUGGGCACCAAUGCAAGGGCGGCGGGCCUCCUGGUGUUUCUGUUUUCAGGCAGCUCUCGGCUUUAAAGACGCUGCUGUGUGUCUGUGUAGCCCAUCACGCCUGGCUGCUGGGCAGCCCUGCAGAGUGUCUGACCGCCUAGCCUGCCCCUCCCAGGGUGAGGACUCCAGGGUGCCCCCACCUCCCCGGGCACAGUGAUGCUGGAGGGGCAUCCUCAGACGUGCCCUCUCAAUCCCCGAGCAGGACCAUCCCAGGCAGCAAGCUUCCUCCGAGCACCGGGCACUCUGGCUGUAUCGUCUCAGGGAGGAAGAGGAACGCCUUUGAUGCCCAGGGCAUGCUGCCCCCUGCAGGAUGCUGCAGCCUGCGGGGUGUACAAGAGAGAGAACAUCCUGGAGAGAGGGCACCGGGCGAGGUGGGCAGUGCGGCAGAGCCAGGAGACCAUGCCCAGGAGAGGUGAGUGCUCGCUGACCGUGGACCUCACGGUGCCCCGGCAAGGGUGCGAAGGAUGGGGCGGGGGCGGUGUGCGCGUCAGAGACUGCGCAGAUCCGCAAGGACGGCCCAAGGCCAGGAGGCUCCGUCCUCUGAGGGAGGCGAUGGAUGAACAGGGGAAGCGGGCCUCCUGGAAGAGCGGGCACAGAGAAGCAUUCCAAGCUGUGGGCUGAGUAUUGGGGGAGUUUCAGGCAACUGCCGGGGUGACAGCUCCCCCUGGUGGCAGAGGCAGGUAGCAGGUGUGUAGAGCCGAGCCCCGAACUCGCACCCGGAGAACUGAUGGCCGAAUGCCUACAGCUGAGGGGUGAAGGGGUCUAACAGCAAGGGGGCCCCGGUGCCCGCCCCCCAAGCCUUUGCCAUCAUCGUUACCUGUGGGAAGAUUCCAGCCCAAUAAAUCCAUCACCAGCAGUAAAAACCACUCCCUCCCCCGGUGUCCCCCCUCCCUGGAGCGUCUGUGCAUGGAAGGCUUAAAACCGGUUACUCCGGAGGAAGAAGGGCAGCUGCCUCCGCUGGUGGAGGUUUUAGCUUAGGAAGGAGCCUGCUUUCACAGGUGUGAGUGUAGAGCAGCGGCAUCAGAGGUUGCCUCCAACGUGUUGGGAUAACGACGUUCGAACUUAACGAAAACGUGAUAGAACUUUGCAGUGAAGGCCCACACACCCACCCCCUGGAUUCUCCAACUGACAUCUGCUUUUACGCACGUUGUCACCUACCUAUCCUACUAGAGCCGCUUCUCUCUAUCCAGUCAACAAGCCGUCUUACAGUUCAAAUAUUUCAAAAUGAAUUGGGACAUCGGUGCCUUUCACCCUUAAACACUUCAGCACAUACUCUAAACGAGUCCAGCAUUGGUUUACCCCCCUUUGUUUUUGCUUUUGGGGUAAAAUAUGUUUGCAAUAAAACGCACAAGCCUUAAGCACACCGGUCAGCAAGGUUUUGACACAUGCAUACACCUGAGUAACCCACAUUCCCAUGGAGACCAAACAGUACCAUCACCCCAGCAAUUCCUUCCUGCCUCUUCGGGGUCAGCCCACCCAUCUCUUCCAGACCGCCACUGUUCUGCGUAUUCCCAUUGUAGGUUUUGCCUGUUCUAGAACUUAGUACCAACAGAAUUAUCAAGUACAGUCACCCCUCAGUGUCUGAGGACCAUGGAAGACCCCAAAGUCUAAGAAUGUCCAAGUCCCUUAUAUGAAAUGGUUUUUUUUUUGACAUAAAAUGUACAGCCAUCCUCCCCUAUACUUGAAAUCAUCCCUAGAUUUCGUAUAAUGCCUAAUAUAUGUAAAUGUUAUGUAAAUAGUUGUAAAUACAAUGUAAAUGUUAUGUAAAUAGUUGUAAAUACUAUGUAAAUCCGAGGUGGGAUGAAUACAAAGCUGUGGAAUGGGGGAUGUUGAGGGCUGACUCUCGGCUCUCUGGCGUAGCGGCAUCCUAUUCGAGAAGCUGCCCAGGUGACUCCACUGUACCUCUGGGCUGGGAACCUCCGCUCCGCACCAGGCAUCUCCUCACUUUGCGGAUGAGGCACCCGAGGCUGUGAGCGAUUUGACGAUUUGACCUCAGGUCACAGGUAGUUGGCUACAGAUCUGGCCGAGAACUCAGGUCUCCUUGCUGAUGGCCUCCUGUUUCCUGCAUAACAGGGCUUCUAGAACAGUGGUUCUCAAACAUUAGCAUCCAUUGGACUCCCUCCAGGGCUGGAGCUGGGGCCCCAGGUCUGCAUCUCUCACAAGCGCCCAGGUGGUGCUGAUGCUGGUGGCCCGGGGACCGCAGCUGAGAAGCGCGGUUCUAAGAGUCAGGUGUAAGAUGUGCUCUUGGGAACUGGCCCAGGCUGGAGGGGGAUUGGAUGCGGGUGGCAACCACGUUGCAUCAGUGUUUUCAUCCCAGCUCGCUCUCUUAAGCUCUUUCUCAAAGGCUCUAUUGAGCAACGACACUCUAGGACUCCAUUGCGUGUUUUCUACAAAAAUAUCCCCCCCUUCGCUUCCUUUUCUCUUUAACUGGGGGGGGGGGGCGCUUCCCCCCCUGCUGAAUCCUUUGCCGUAUCUCCACUGAUGCCAGGGCCUCUCCUCCCUCCCGCCUAGUCUAUCUACUUGUUUUCAAGACCCACCGGCAGCUUCCAAAGGAGACAACCCCUCACAUACGCCAUGGGGUGAAAGAGGUGCCUUUAGGGAAACACACCGUAUCAUUUUUCAGUUGAAUACUUACGCAUUGAUUUUUAUGUGCAUGAAGAAAAUAGCAAACCUCUGAAUUCACACCUGCUAUAGGUGAUUUAGACCGCUUCUUUAAAUAAGUUUAAGUUUAAAAAAGGAAUUGAUUCAAAGAACCAACAAUGACAGACUGAUAAAACAGGUGCUUGGAGGUAUGUGGCCAAGAGAAGGCUGUCUUGAGAUCUGAGAAAUCUGCUUCGGUAAUUCCAGGAAAACCACGGGCUCGGGAGUCUUACAGAGUAGCUGGUCCUGUUGGGAAAACUCCUGUUCUCUUUCCUGCAACCUUUAUAUCCUUGUCCUAAAACAUGAGAACAACUCUAGUUAUUUCGCAUUCGUAUUCUGUGACUUGCUUUGCAUAUUACUCUCAGUAUCUUGCAAUAACUUUCUUCAAAAUAUGUGGAUUUACAUAUUUGCUGCAAUUUUAAAGUGUGAUUUUUUAUAACAUUUCAGGACUAGCAUUCUUUUUCCUUGAGGAAAUACAUUUUCAAUUUUAGAAUGAAAGUCAGCUGGAAUAUAAGACCACAUAUAGGAAAUUACUUUAGAGACAAAUUUUCAAUAUCUUUUCUAUUUGUAAAUGGGUGGCUUUGUUAUUAAAAAGCAACCCUUUUCAAUUACACUCCUUGCUUUUACACCCCACCUCAUUCCGUGCAGAUCUGAGAUGACUGCAGCAGAACACCUGACAAAAUAAAAAUUUUUUAAACUAAGACAGGGAACUAAAAGUAAGAAGUCAAAGGAGUUCCCAUUGUGGCUCAGGAGAUUAAGAACCUGUCUAGUCUCCGUAAGGAUGGAGGUUCAAUCCCUGGCCUUGCUCAGUGGAUUAAGGAUCUGGCGUUGGCACAAGCUGCAGCACAGGCCACAGAUGCAGCUCGGACCCAGUGUGGCUGUGGCGAGGCUGGCAGCUGCAGCUCCAGUUGGACCCCCUAGCCUGGGAACCUCCAUAUGCCGCAGGUGUGGCCCUUAAAAAAAAAAGAAGUCAAGAGGAGGCAAGGUAAAAACACAAAUAUGCAGGCUUUAUAGGCUCAGAUGCUUAAUGUAGUGGAGUUGAGGUUCAGAUUUGGCUUUGAGCUCCCUGGCAGCUGCAGAGAAAAGAACAGUCCAUCUUUUUUGUGAUUUUUAUUCUGGGGGCAGAGGAAGCAUGUCGGCUCCUCAGGGAAAGCAGAGCUUUUCCCCAGGACCUAGCAAAGAGGCAAUUUGUUAGGUCGGAGGAGCCUGGCGUGAUGUAAUGGAGCACGUCCUUGACGUUUGCAAAGCACAAGAACAGAACAACCUCCCCGGCACCUUCGAAGCAAAGCACGUCCUUUUCCUGAUUCUCAUCUAAAGUCUUAAAACUGGCCCUGGGAAGGACGCUGCAUGGAGAAGUGUCUCCGCGUGGCCGGCCGAAGUGCUCCGAGACGUUAAACUCUGGAUACCGUCUUUCCACCAAUGACUCCCAAAUUUACAUCCUGACUCCAGACUCCCACAGCCCAUUCCUCCCGCGCAUCUCCACUUGGGGUCGAAGAGACAUUUCUAACUCCACACGGCCCAGACUCCUGAUCGUUCCCCAAAAAAUGGCUCCAUCUGCAGCCUCCCUCGCCCUCAGCCAAUGGCCACCCCUUCCUCCUACGUGCUGAGGCUCAAGUCUCACAGGUCCAUCUUCACCUAUCGUCAGAGUCUGACCGUCUGACCACUUCUUACUCCUCUGCCCUCCCCUCCCCUCCCCUCAGGAGCCCCCAAGAACUGUCACCCGAAAUACGCAGUAGCCUCUGAAAAGGCCUCCCCCCUUCCAUCCUGCCCCCAGCACCCGUCUGAUUCCUGUUUGGUCUCAGCACAGAUCGCAGGCUGACCGUCUGACACGUCAAUUACAUCAUGUUAUGUUUGGCCUCAAACCCCUCCGCUGGCUCCCUUUCGCACGCCCAGAAUAUGACCAAGUCCCACGUGGCCACGAGGCUCCCCAGGAGGAGGUCCUGUUACUUCUCGGACCUCAUCCCCCAGUUUGCUCCACUCGCAUCACCCUUUGCUGCUCUCCGCACCUCCAGCCUUUAUCCUGGCUGCUCCCUGCCUGGGACCGGUGGCUCCCGUUCGUUACACAAUCGCUUUCUCAGUGCAGCCGACCUCGACUACCGUCUGAAGGUCCCCCUUCCUUCCCCUCCACCCGCCCCUGCUUCGUCCCAGGACCCUUAUCCUGCUCACCUGUUUCUUUCCCCCAUGGUUCUAACCUCCUCCUGGCAAUCUUUAAAGUUAGACAACUUCGCUGACAUAGUUCUGGUUGUCUCAGAAUAGAUCAGGUUAUGCUGCACUAACAAACACCCUGAAAAUCUCAGUGGAGUUCCUGUCGUGGCGCAGUGGUUAACGGACCCGACUAGGAACCAUGAGGUUGCGGGUUUGAUCCCUGGCCUUGCUCGGUGGGUUAAAGAUCCGGCGUUGCCGUGAGCUGUGGUGUAGGUCACAGAUACGGCUCGGAUCUGGUGUUGCUGUGGCUCUGGCGUAGGCCGGCAGCUGUAGCUCCGAUUGGACCCCUAGCCUGGGAACCUCCAUAUGCCACGGAAAAGGCAAAAAUCCCCAAACAAAAAAACAAACCAAAAAAAACUCAGUGAAGUCAAGAAACAUAUUGAUUCCUCACUUGAGCGAGUCUCAGGGACCUAGGCUGAUGCACGGCCUUCACCUGAAAUGCCUCCAGUUUUCAAGUCAGGGGGGCAGAGGGACGGCUUUGGAAGGGUCUCACAUCAGCAAAUGAAUGUUCUGGCCUGGAAGUAACAUGUCAUUUCUCACAAUUCAUUGCCCAGAACUGGCCACGUGUGAAGACCGGAGAGUAAAGUUCUACCGUGGGCCUGGAAGGAGGAGGAUUGGAACUAUCUCAGUGUUGCCUUUUUUUUUUUUUAAUUUUAUGGCCGUAUCCAUGGCACAUGGAAGUUCCUGAGCCAGAGAGUGAAUCCAAGCCUCAGCUGUGGACAAUACGCCACCGCUACGGCAAUACCCCCAGAUCUUUUUAACCCACUGCACCGGGCUGGGGAUUGCACCCACACCCCCCACAGUGACCCGCUGCCACCCAAGCCACCACAGUCAGGCUCUUAACCCGCUGUGCCCCAGCAGGAACUCCAGUGAUGCCUAUUUUUAUCAUUUUCCUUCCCAUCGACAAAGGCAGGGAUCUCUUAACACCUGGCACAGUGGCUUUGCGCAUAGGAGGCGCUCAAUAAAUACGUCUCGAAUGAAUGGGUCGAUCACAUGGUGAGAUUCCUAACUGGAACAGAAAGCCAGGAGCUGACGAUAAACCCCAAAUCAAAAGCAGAGACUGCAGACAUGCAGGAAGGAGCUUGUUCAGCUACGCCUGUGCGGUUCUGGAAACCCACGAAAUUAUUUUCACACUUUUUCCAAGGAGGAAGUCCUAUGGCUUUCACCAGGUGAGUAAAGGUGCCUCUAAAAGAGACCAAACAAUCCAGGAAGAAGGGGCAUUUGGGUAGGUGGGGGUGCAAAUGCCUGCCCCAUAACCAAUGGUCAAUAUGGUAAAGGACUGCAGGUGCGUCAGCUCACCUCUCCGUGGCUCAGUGUCCUCUGUGCUUGAGGCCUGCAGCGGGGAUCAACUGAACAGGUGUUCUCCAAACUGGCACGCACUUCCCAGGAGCUGGGCUGGCUCAGGACGGGGAGCGGGGGAGGGGGCGCCAUGCUCACCUGUGCAGCCAGGGCGCCAUCUAGUGGGCAGAGCAGGCAGUCAGGGCAGCCGGCACAUCCCUGGCCCUCCUGGCUCCCAGGAGGCGGCUGGCACUCAGGAAAGUUUAAGAGGCUUCAAGUUUCUGCAAACCACAGAGCCAGGCAGGGCUUUUGACCCUCCCUGUAGCGGAGGCUGGGACUCCAUGGCCGAGCUGCCUGGGGCGAUCCGUCUCCUGUCCAUCCAUGACUUUCUGAUUCGUUCAGGAAGAGCAGGACUGGGCAGGUGCAGCCAGGGCGGCAGCUGACAGCCCCAAACUGAAGGGAGCACCAAACGACUGGGGGAUCCAGAUUCAUAAUGCAGCAUUUUGGGAAGUCAAGGUAAAUGCCCCCCCCCCCAAAAAAAGCUCUGUGAUGAACAAAAUAGCAAAUCCUCAAAUAAAAACAGGAUCACAGAUAUUAUAACUUGGUCACUUUGCUGCAGAGCAGAAGUUGACAGGACAUUGUAAAUCAAGUCUAAUUUAAAAAAAAAAAAAAAAAAA
rnacentral:lncRNA from 9 species